CAUGACCCCAGGUCAGGUGAGGUUAGUCGCUGAGUUUAA
rnacentral:rRNA from 2 species